rnacentral:piRNA from 1 species
UCAUGUGUACACGUUUACUUCCGCUCC